GGCCUGUUAGCUCAGCUGGUUAGAGUGUGAUGCUAAUGACGCUGAAGUCGUGGUUCGAUCCCCACAUGGGCCA